rnacentral:lncRNA from 1 species
GCUGUAUUUAGACCCUUCUACAACGAAAUUUGUUUUACAUGCACACGUAUAAAAAUUGCGGUUUUUAUCCAACGCAAUCAUAGGUUUGAACGUAGUUUUUCAAUUUAGACUCGUUUAUAUUUUUCGUUUGGGCUUGUAUCAUAUUUUCCCUCCGGUUUAUAUGAUCUGUUCAUCCUAUAUUGACUCUUAAAAUUCAAGAGUCUA